rnacentral:rRNA from 1 species
GUCGAGAAUAAUUCACAAUGGACGAAAGUCUGAUGGUGCAACGCCGCGUGGAGGAUGAAGGUCUUCGGAUUGUAAACUCCUGUCAUCGGGGAGUAAGACCUGGCGGUAAAUAGCCGACAGGGUUGAUAGUACCCGAAGAGGAAGGGACGGCUAACUUCGUGCCAGCAGCCGCGGUAAUACGAAGGUCCCAAGCGUUGUUCGGAAUCACUGGGCGUACAGGGAGCGUAGGCGGCGUGGUAAGUCAGAUGUGAAAUCCCGGGGCUCAACCCCGGAACUGCAUCCGAUACUGCCAUGCUAGAGGGUUGGAGAGGUAGCUGGAAUUCUCGGUGUAGCAGUGAAAUGCGUGGAUAUCGAGAGGAACACUCGUGGCGAAGGCGAGCUACUGGACAACAUCUGACGCUGAGGCUCGAAGGCCAGGGGAGCAAAAGGGAUUAGAAACCCCUGUAGUCC